rnacentral:lncRNA from 1 species
ACCGGGUCCAACACGAGCAUUGGCAGAGAUUGAGACGUUGGGACCAAUCUGUCAGUAGCCAAAACAGAAUGGGUUGUGAUAAAGAGGUUGCUUCAACAAUGAACAAAACCAGGGGUAACUUACCUUUGCAGUUGGGUGUACUUUUGCAGAAGGAUGUAUGAAAACAUCACCAGUCACUAUGGCACUCUUUGUUCCAUCUCCACUAGCCAGCACUUGUGGUGAGGUCAACCGGAACUGAGAAAGAUAGAGUUCCGAGCACCUCAGCGACAUUCUGCGAAAAAGGGUAACUCAGAAGUCAGAGACAUAGAGAUUCCCUGUUUCAGCUGCUGUCUCUCUCCAUGCAAAAGAUUAAAAGAAAUGAAUGAAAACACAAAAGGCAUACCCAGGAGAUUUAAUUUGCUCCCAGAAAUCCAUAGUCUCGUAAGUAUAUAGCUGUUUCUUCCCAGCUAGAGGUGAAAGGAUGUCUUGAUCCAGUCUUACAAAAUCCGUGGAGUUCCUAUUUGAAACAUAUAAUUUCAAGAAUAUGAUUCAAAAGGUUAUCUCAGUUAAUGUCCGAAGAGACAGUGGACAAACCUUGUUGCCGGUUGAAGAGCUUCAACGCUGGAAACACGUCUCAAAGUUGCUACAACAAACGGGAACAAGACGCAGAGGAUAUACAUGAGAGGGACUUUGAAGAGAAAACACAUUUUGUUGUAAGAUCUUUGUUACCACUUUUACCUGUAUCUUUCGUUUGAGAAGAAACAUCUCUUAUGGCAGUAAAAAUGUCAGGUGUAAAUACAUAAACACCGCAGUUAAUACGGUCACUGACCUGUUGUUUUCCAAGAUAAAAAGAAAAACAUUAUAAUCAAAACUUGAAUAUGCUGAAGAGUUUUGGGUCAUCUUAGUGAUAUGUGAACAUACAAAAGUUUCAGGUUUCUCGGUGUAGUGAAGCAGCUCAUUAGUAACUGGAUCUGCAACCAGUUCUCCAAACUGGCUGGCUGAUUCAGGAGAGACCUAGAAAACCAAAACACAGAAGCAGCUUUGGUAAAACCGACCAGACAAAAACAAGACUCAUCUUAUGCGCAGUCACACACCUUGAUUACAAGAAGUGUUCCAAUUCCACCAUAUUUCCGAUGAGCCUCUGUGUAAUAAAGGUAUCAAGAUCAAGAUGGAUGUUCAAAACCAUUGUUCAAUAAAAAAAAGGAUUUUCAAAACCAAAAAGAGGAAUCUGCACAGAGAAAAUAAGUACAUACCGAGCAUUUCAGGCAAGGGGAAACUGCAGCAGACAUCACAGUUAAGCAGGAAGAUAUGAGACUGCAAGGAAGUAGACACAAGAACUUAGAUGUGAAGAAGAAACAUCAAUAGUUCAUAGAACAACUGAGCACAAUAUAAUUGAACUUCUAACCGGGUCAUCUUCCAUGAUUAGAUUUCUAAAGUGAUACAGACCACCAGCUGAACCAUGUGGCUUGUCUUCUCUGAGAUAUCUAAUAACCAGAAAUCCAACAAACAAGGAUCAGAGCCAUUGGAUUAUGCAAAAAGGAGGAGGGAUCUAAUCAAAACCUGACAGGAACUUUGAGUUCAUUGGAAAUGGCAGAGACAUAAAGUGCAAACUCCCUUUCCUCAUAGAAACCGACAAGAUAGAUUUGAGCUAAAUUAGGAAUCUGCAGAUAAUAAAGGAUUAGUAUCAUCAUCAUCAUCCAUUGAUCUGAAAUGGAGUGAGGAAAGUUACCCUUUUACACGCUGAAAUUGGAUGAUGCACCAUUGGUUGUCCCGCAAUAGGAAACAGAGGCUUUGGAAUAUUCAGAGACAAUGGUCGGAAUCGAGUACCUGCGGUGGAUCCAAAGAUUCGGACAGAAUCAGAAAACACAUAAUCAUUCCGACCAGGAUUGUCGGUGGAUACGUAAUGUAAUAGAUAUUCUCAAAACACACAAAUCCAAAUCUAACGUAUUCGUUUGAGAUUGAAGGAGAAAAGCAAACAUCUUUUUGAGCAAUUACCUUUGGUUGGACCACCGACCAUGAUCACAGCCACCACUUUUUCAUCCAUCGAGCUCACCAUUGAUCACAGAUCUCUAAGCAGACCAAGAAAGCCACUAACUUCACCAGUGUUGUUGGGUCACGCAGAACAGAGGAUUCAGACAGCCAAAACUAAAAUAAAAACUAAAAAGAUUGUCUUUUUAAGAGUGUUUUUGAGGGGAGAUCUAAUGGGUCGGAGAAAUCGACAAGAAAGGAGAGGUUUUUAAGAAGAUGAAGUGUCAGUAGUAAGUUGUGGUUAUAGAUAGAGAGAUCUAAGCAGAGCUGUAAUGUUCUGGUUGAUGGGUCCUAAGUGACCUCUUUCCUUUUAAAGGAUAAGAAAGGCCCUCCACUUCUUCCACCUCCUCGACCGCCGCCACCGCAACUACAUCCACUCCCCCUCCUCCUUCAACCUCGCGAUCGACAUCGCCGCCCGCCUCCACCUCCACACCACCGUCUGGUCCCUGAUCCGCCGCAUGCGCUCCCUCCGCAUCGGCCCCUCCCCGAAAACCUUCGCGAUCGUCGCCGAGAGGUUCGCUUCCUCCGGGAAGCCCGAUAAAGCCGUGAACCUCUUCCUCAACAUGCACGAGCACGGCUGCUCUCAAGAUCUCGCCUCGUUCAACACGAUCCUCGACGUCCUCUGUAAAUCCAAACGCGUAGAGAAGGCUUACGAGCUCUUUAAGGAUCUUAGAGGAAGGUUUAGCGCUGACGUGGUGACUUACAACGUGAUUGUUAACGGUUGGUGUUUGAUCAAACGCACCCCAAAGGCUUUGGAGGUGUUGAAAGAGAUGGUUGAGAGAGGGAUCACCCCUAACCUCACCACUUACAACACAAUGCUCAAAGGCUUCUUUAGGUCAGGGCAGGUUAGGCAGGGAUGGGAGUUUUUCUUGGAGAUGAAGAAACGUAAUUGCGGAAUCGGAUUCGAUGUUGUGACCUAUACUACAGUUGUUCACGGGCUUGGCGUCUCUGGGGAGGUUAAGAGAGCUAAGAAAGUGUUCGACGAAAUGAUUAGAGAAGGAGUGCUACCUUCUGUAGCCACGCACAAUGCGUUGAUACAGGUUCUGUGUAAGAAAGAUACUGUGGAGAAUGCGGUUUCGGUGUUUGAGGAGAUGGUGAGGAAAGGUUAUGAGCCGAAUGUGACGACUUACAAUGUGUUGAUAAGAGGGUUGUUUCACGCCGGGGAGUUUACUCGAGGAGAGGAGAUGAUGCGGACGAUGGAGGAGGAAGGUGGGUGUGAGGCGAGCUUUCAGACGUAUAAUAUGAUGAUAAGAUAUUAUUUGGAGUGCGGCGAGGUUGAGAAAGCGUUGGGGUUGUUUGAGAGGAUGGGGAGUGGGGGCUGCUUGCCGAAUUUGGAUACUUAUAAUAUACUGAUAAGUGGGAUGUUUGUGAGGAAGAGAUCGGAGGAUAUGGUGGUGGCUGGGAAGCUGUUGGUUGAGAUGGUUGAGAGAGGGUUUGUGCCGAGGAAGUUUACUUUUAAUCGGGUUCUGAAUGGGCUUCUUUUGACUGGGAAUCAAGGUUUCGCGAAGGAGAUCUUGAGGUCGCAGAGUAAAUCUGGUAGCCGGCUUACUAAGAAGUUCAGGUUAUGAAUCUCUUAUGUGCGUGUGAAAGGGAAAGACAUUGCAUUAUUGAAGUUAAUGCAGACUCACUGAAUCAGGAAAGGCAUUGUUCAGAGAGGAUAGAGCAAGAACAGUGUCAAAACUGCUAAAUUACACAAUUGCUUUAUUAUCAUGGGCCAAAAAAUUCAGUGCGUUUUACAGUAGCUGUGUGUCUGAGUAUAGAUGAUGGAAUCUGAUACAAAGUUGGCAAUUUUUAUGUAAAGUAAAUGAUUCAUUUGAGUUACUUCCCAAAUAACUUGCUUCCACAGGGUUGGUUCGUUUCUUCAGUUACAAGAUGAUCUCGUCUUGAACACUGACGUUGAGUGUCUUGUUUGGAAGAACGAUACUGCUGGUCACCACAACCUCGUCUUCAACUGCAACCGAGUCUCCUGAAACCAUUUAUGUUUCAGGUUAGUUUUCUCUCUAUAAGGAGAUUUGGCUGUCUUUCAGUAAAGGGAUGGUUAUAAGAACAGUUUACCGAGAAUUGUAACUCCGAGUUUGGAGUUGUAGACUCCCUCAGCCUGUGAUCAACAUAGUAUAGCUUCAGUUUCAUGAAUGCAAAGUACACCAAACAGAAACAUUUAAAGGUCAGAAUCUUAAGAGAUGAGCAGAGGAGAGAAACAUGCCUGGACACGGGACCAUCUCCCGAUAGAAGAUUUCCACCCAACAAUUGCGUUAGUCACCACUGCAUUUUCCUGGGAAAACAGACACUGAAGAGUCAGUCCCAAGAGAACUUUGCCCGUUUUUCUUUCAGUCUCUGGUGUAAGAAGACAUACCAUGAUCUCAACGUCAUCAAGGAUGAUACAGCUGAUAAGCCUGACACCGGGUCCAACACGAGCAUUGGCAGAGAUUGAGACGUUGGGACCAAUCUGUCAGUAGCCAAAACAGAAUGGGUUGUGAUAAAGAGGUUGCUUCAACAAUGAACAAAACCAGGGGUAACUUACCUUUGCAGUUGGGUGUACUUUUGCAGAAGGAUGUAUGAAAACAUCACCAGUCACUAUGGCACUCUUUGUUCCAUCUCCACUAGCCAGCACUUGUGGUGAGGUCAACCGGAACUGAGAAAGAUAGAGUUCCGAGCACCUCAGCGACAUU